rnacentral:rRNA from 1 species
GGCGAGAGACGAUAGCGAACAAUACCGUGAGGGAAAGAUGAAAAGAACUUUGAAAAGAGAGUUAAACAGUACGUGAAAUUGUUGAAAGGGAAACGAUUGAAGUCAGUCAUACUAACGGGAAAUCAACCUCUUGAGUNUGGUCUCGUGGGUUUCGAAUAGUUUUAAAANCCUUCGGAUUUNCGAGAUUGGGCCCUUCUGGUGUAUUUCUCGUACGGUUAGUCAACAUCGGUUUUGAAGUCAUAAAUGA